rnacentral:snRNA from 1 species
GUGCUUGCCUCAGCAGCACAUAUACUAAAAUUGGAACGAUACAGAGAAGAUUAGCAUGGCCCCUGCACAAGGAUGCCACGCAAAUUCGUGAAGUGUUCCAUAUUUUU